UACGAAGGGUGCAAGCGUUACUCGGAAUUACUGGGCGUAAAGCGUGCGUAGGUGGUUCGUUAAGUCUGUCGUGAAAGCCCCGGGCUCAACCUGGGAAUGGCGAUGGAUACUGGCGGGCUAGAGUGCGGUAGAGGAGAGUGGAAUUCCCGGUGUAGCAGUGAAAUGCGUAGAGAUCGGGAGGAACAUCAGUUGCGAAGGCGGUUCUCUGGGCCUGUACUGACGCUGAGGAGCGAAAGCGUGGGGAGCAAACAGG
rnacentral:rRNA from 1 species